AAGAAACCAACAGGGAUUGCCCCAGUAACGGCGAGUGAAGCGGCAACAGCUCAAAUUUGAAAUCUGGUCCCCAGGGCCCGAGUUGUAAUUUGCAGAGGAUGCUUUUGGUGAGGUGCCUUCCGAGUUCCCUGGAACGGGACGCCAUAGAGGGUGAGAGCCCCGUCUGGUUGGAUACCGAGCCUCUGUAAAGCUCCUUCGACGAGUCGAGUAGUUUGGGAAUGCUGCUCUAAAUGGGAGGUAUAUGUCUUCUAAAGCUAAAUAUUGGCCAGAGACCGAUAGCGCACAAGUAGAGUGAUCGAAAGAUGAAAAGCACUUUGAAAAGAGGGUUAAAUAGUACGUGAAAUUGUUGAAAGGGAAGCACUUAUGACCAGACUUGGCCCCGGUGAAUCAUCCAGCGGUCCCCGCUGGUGCACUUUGCCGGGGUUCAGGCCAGCAUCAGUUCGCUCCGGGGGAUAAAGGCUUUGGGAAUGUGGCUCCCUCGGGAGUGUUAUAGCCCAUUGCGUAAUACCUUGUGGCGGGCUGAGGUUCGCGCUUUAUGCAAGGAUGCUGGCAUAAUGGUCAUCAGUGACCCGUCUUGAAACACGGACCCCUGUGUGAAAUU
rnacentral:rRNA from 1 species